rnacentral:rRNA from 1 species
GACGAACGCUGGCGGCGUGCUUAACACAUGCCAGUCGAACGGAAAGGCCCUGCUUUUGUGGGGUGCUCGAGUGGCGAACGGGUGAGUAACACGUGAGUAACCUGCCCUUGACUUUGGGAUAACUUCAGGAAACUGGGGCUAAUACCGGAUAGGAGCUCCUGCUGCAUGGCGGGGGUUGGAAAGUUUCGGCGGUUGGGGAUGGACUCGCGGCUUAUCAGCUUGUUGGUGGGGUAGUGGCUUACCAAGGCAUUGACGGGUAGCCGGCCUGAGAGGGUGACCGGCCACAUUGGGACUGAGAUACGGCCCAGACUCCUACGGGAGGCAGCAGUGGGGAAUAUUGCACAAUGGGCGGAAGCCUGAUGCAGCAACGCCGCGUGCGGGAUGACGGCCUUCGGGUUGUAAACCGCUUUCGCCUGUGACGAAGCGUGAGUGACGGUAAUGGGUAAAGAAGCACCGGCUAACUACGUG